rnacentral:rRNA from 1 species
CAGUAGCCGCGGUAAUACGUAGGUGGCAAGCGUUGUCCGGAAUUAUUGGGCGUAAAGGGCUCGCAGGCGGUUUCUUAAGUCUGAUGUGAAAGCCCCCGGCUCAACCGGGGAGGGUCAUUGGAAACUGGGAAACUUGAGUGCAGAGGAGGAGAGUGGAAUUCCACGUGUAGCGGUGAAAUGCGUAGAGAUGUGGAGGAACACCAGUGGCGAAGGCGACUCUCUGGUCUGUAACUGACGCUGAGGAGCGAAAGCGUGGGGAGCGAACAGGAUUAGAUACCCCAGUAGUCCCUGUCUCUUAUAC